AGGUGUAUAGCUCAGUGGGAGAGCUUUUGGUUAGCAUUCAUAAAGCUCUGGGUACCAUCCCCAGCACAACAA
rnacentral:tRNA from 1 species